UACGGGGACCCCUAGCGUUGUUCGGAAUUACUGGGCUUAAAGCGGGUGUAGGCGGAGCGGCAAGUACCUUGUGAAAGCCCCGGGCUCAACCCGGGAAUUGCUGGGUAUACUGUUGCUCUUGAGGCAGACAGGGGUCACUGGAACCUUAGGUGGAGCGGUGAAAUGCGUAGAUAUCUAAGGGAACGCCUGUGGCGAAAGCGGGUGACUGGGUCUGUUCUGACGCUGAGGCCCGAAAGCGUAGGGAGCGAACGGGAUUAGAUACCCUAGUA
rnacentral:rRNA from 1 species